rnacentral:sRNA from 1 species
UUGUAGUGAGGGCUUCGCGUUAGCGCGAC